rnacentral:lncRNA from 1 species
ACAUAUGCCUAUUGCAGCUGUAACGUUCAACACCAUCAUUAUGAUUAUUAAUGCACAAUUGACCAAAUCAAAUCUCAUUGAUUUGGAUUGAUAUUGCAUGCUUCUUUGUUAAUUAGCUUGCGGUCCAUUACGCCCCCUCAAGAUAAAGGUACCAUUGAUUACCUUUAUCUUGGAUGUAAGCUCUGUGAACUUGGUUGUGGCUAAAGGUUUAGUUAGCAAGUCUGCAAGUUGGUCUUUGGUGGACACAUGAGUGACUAUGAGCUUAUUGGAUUGAACUUGUUCUCUGACGAAGUGAUAAUCCAAUGAUAUGUGCUUCAUUCUUGAGUGAAGUAUUGGAUUUGAGCAAAGAUAUGUUGCACCUACAUUGUCACACAAUAAGCGUGGAGGGUC